rnacentral:lncRNA from 1 species
AACAUUCAUGCGAGAAUUCCCAAAUGGUUUCAUAAGAAGCUCUUAAACUCAUGGAAGGACAUUAUACACAUUGACCUGAGUUUCAACAAGUUACAAGGUGAUCUUCCAAUUCCACCUGAUGGCAUUGAAGACUUUUUACUCUCAAACAACAACUUCACAGGAGAUAUUUCUUCAACAUUCUGCAAUGCUAGUUCCCUUUAUAUCCUCAAUUUGGCUCACAACAAUUUGACAGGUAUGAUUCCACAAUGUCUAGGAACAUUUUCUUAUCUCUCUAUUUUGGAUAUGCAAAUGAACAACCUCUGUGGAAGCAUUCCUGGAACCUUUUCCAAAGGAAAUAUAUUUGAGACUAUAAAAUUGAAUGGAAACCAAUUGGAAGGACCAUUACCACAAUGUUUGGCUUACUGUUCAUAUCUUGAAGUAUUGGACCUUGGUGACAACAACAUAGAGGAUACUUUUCCCAAUUGGCUAGAAACUCUACAAGAGUUACAGGUGCUAAGUUUACGAUCAAAUCAUCUUCAUGGGUCAAUCACAUGUUCUAGCACCAAGCAUCCAUUUCCUAAGUUGAGAAUUUAUGAUGUCUCUAGUAACAAUUUUAGUGGCCCCUUGCCAACAUCAUGCUUCAAGAACUUUCAAGGAAUGAUGGAUGUGAAUAACAGCCAAAUUGGUUUGCAAUACAUGGGUAAAGCCAGAUACUUUAAUUACUAUAAUGAUUCUGUGGUGAUCAUAAUGAAAGGUCUUUCCAUAGAGUUAACGAGGAUAUUGACUACUUUUACAACUAUUGAUUUAUCAAAUAACAAGUUUGAUGGAGAAAUUUCAGAAGUCAUUGGAGAAUUAAAUUCUCUCAAAGGCCUUAACCUCUCAAACAAUGGAAUCACAGGAACCAUUCCACAAUCUUUAAGUCAUUUGAGAAAUUUAGAGUGGUUGGACCUCUCAAGGAACCAAUUGAAGGGUGAGAUUCCCGUGGCUUUGACAAAUUUGAAUUUCCUCUCAUUCUUAAACCUUUCACAAAACCACCUUGAGGGAGUCAUACCUACAGGUCAACAAUUUGAUACAUUUGGAAAUGAUUCUUAUGAAGGGAAUACAAUGUUGUGUGGAUUCCAAUUGUCUAAAUCAUGCAAAAAUGAGGAAGAUCUUCCACCGCAUUCAACAUCUGAAGAUGAAGAAGAAUCAGGAUUUGGCUGGAAAGCGGUAGCAAUCGGAUAUGGAUGUGGGGCAAUAUAUGGGUUGCUGUUGGGAUAUAAUGUAUUCUUCUUCACUGGAAAACCCCAAUGGCUUGCAAGACAUGUUGAAAAUAUGUUUAACAUAAGAUUGAAAAGAUCAAACAAUAGAGCCAACUUAAAUCGUAGAAGGAUGAAUUAAUUUGAUGAGGGUGUUUUCAAAUAUAUAAAUACAACUGUUUGUAUGUAAUCUAAACAUCCCAGUUUAAGGGAUGUAGCAUUAUAUAUAUAUCUUUUAGUACCAGUGUGUUAUAUAUUUCAAGUUGAUGAAUAAAUAAGGAAUUUAUAGUGAUCAAUUGCUUUUAUGAUACUUUCAAAACAAAAUUAUGUAUAUACUAUAAAAUUUUCAAGACUUAAUUUGAUGUUUUUAAUUUCUAUGAUGGAUAUAGAUGUUUGUGCUUCAAUUGAAGGAUGGUGAUGUUUUUUACCUUUUGAAGAAUGUUUAUUCGAAACCAUAUCCUCAGUGUGUCAUAAUCAACGCCCAGCACACACACAAUAACUCAAGGAAUUCAGUACUAGGCAGGGGCGGAUCCAUCACCCGGCGAGCCCAGGCUCAAUCAAUACUUUUUUUCAUAUUUUGUCCAACCCAAUAGUCCAUUAAUCCACUCAAUUUUUUUUUGGGCAAACUCAAUAUUUUUACAUGCGCCCGCACAAGAAUUCUUGACUCUAUAAUUUUUGCUCAGACUCUAUAAAAUUUCUGGCUCCGCCACGGGUACUAGGUGAUGCAGCCAUUCAAAAACCAAGAGCUUGAACCAGGCUAUCAAAGAAUCAGAUCUAGCAGCCAUUCAAAAAUGCAUUAGCAUUCAUUCUUCAAAAAAAUCUUUUUUAGUACCAUCAUUAUGUUACUUACCUUAGUAGAAUAAAAGCGGAGAUUCCACAGAAUCUUCUUUGUUCUGAAUCCACUCUAGUGCAUUUUCAGAGUUCGAUUCCAAUAUAAUCUCACCAUCUUUUAACCAAAUUUUCUCUAAGGAUACUUCAAGAGCGAAUACAGUUGCUAAAAACUCUGCCUCAUUGGAAUCCCGAACACCUACUUAUGCCAUAAAGCUUCCCAUGAUUGUACCUUUGUCGUUUCCAAGUACACCAGCUGGACCUGGUUUGCCUUUGAAGGUGAGAAAAACACAAGAAGGGGGGUUGAAUUGUGUUUACUUUUUCUUCUUCUUCUCCUAAGCUGAAAACACUGAUUAGAAGCAGAUAGAAUUCUAUUUCUGAAGUGAUGUUCAGAACUAGUUGCAGCGGAUAAAACAGAAAGAAAGAGAAGAAAAACACAUAGCAAUUUAUACAGGUUCCUUCCACAAACCGGAAGUCAGUCAUGCCCCCUUGCACUUCCAAGAGAGUCUAGAUGUCACAUAUAUGUGUUUCAAAAAAAAUAUAUAUAUCAUUUUUCUUCAUGGACUUGGCUCAUUCGGCUAAAGUCAAGUCUUGUCAUAUUUCUAUGGAUGCUAAUGAAUUAAUUAUCGUAUCACUAAAAUUGCAACCACAAAAAAUAUUUCCACUGGAGUGCUCCAUACGGUUGAAGAAGACAUACUACCAAACAAGAGCACCGCAAGACUCAAUUUCUAAAACGUUUACUCGGUUUUCUACGCAAAAUACCUUUCAUUCAUUGGCUCAAUUUAUUUUCUUAAUUUCUUUUAAAUUAAAGGUAACUCUUCCUUCAACUUUAGAAUUAAUUUGUUAAAGUAAUUUUUUCAAAAAAAAUAAAAAAUACUUUACUCAAAAUAAAUUCUAACAAUUGCAUAACCAAAUUUAGUUGAAUAUUGCUUUUCUCACAUUGAAUUUUUCUUAAAAACACAUCGAAAUGAUGCAAAUACCCCCAAUGGUAGUUAACUACCAUUGCAAUAAAAUCGGCGGUAGUUAACUACUGUCGUGCUUAUUUCUUAGCCGUAGUUAACUACCGUUGAGAUUUUUGUACAAAUGACAGAAGCACCUGCAGUUCUGCAUACUCUCAAUUUUCAUACUCUCAAAAUCUCUACAAAAAUUCCCCAAUCUCAUUUUCACGAAAUUCAUCAAAAUUUCUUCAACAAAAUUACAAGUAAGUAAUCAUAGUGCUAUUAACCUAUAAUAUAGUUAGUACAAGGUGUUUUUUUUUAUAAUUUUAGUUUUAGGGUUUAUUGAAAUUUUGAUUUUUUUUUUGGUAAGAAAUGGUUCAAUGUUUACAUGUAAAUGAUUUAUGUUGAUUAAAUGUUUAGAUGUUUAUGUUGUAGUUUUAAGUUUUAGGGUGUAUAAUUUGCACUCCAAAUGUUUGAUGAAAUGUUUGAAUGAGUUGUUCAUUGAUUAUUUUUAAUUUUUUAUGGUGUAGAUCUGAAGCAAUGGACAAUUUGUUCAGCGCUCAAAUAUGCUUUAACGGUGGAAAGUCCAAUUCGUUUAGGGUUCAGGACAAUGCCACGUUAAAAUAUCUGAAGGAUCAACUGGAUGAUCAACCAAUGACUCAACCACGAAGACACAAGGAGGGUGAAUAGGUUUGGUAUGAACGUCAUCGUUCGACUUAGAGGGGUGAUUGAUGUUCAAUCGGCUAGAGUUAACGAACGAGGACGACGUGAAUAUCAUGUUCUCGAUAUUUGGUCAGCACAACAUGUUCCCAACGAUCGAGAUGGAUGCUACGUUGCUGAGAUCACCUGAAGAUAUUCUCAAGAGUUUGAUUCGGCUAGAUAAAGAUGUUUAGGUAGUAUUAUUAUGUAGUGUCUUUAUUUGGUUGGAAUUAAGUUUAAUUCAUGGUAGUCUGUUGAGAGUGUUGGGAUUAAAGUGUCUUAUACUUAGUAUAAAGGUGUGCAUAUAUGUUUCAAAAUUCACAAGAAUGAAGAGAACAUAACAUUUAUUUUGUUGAAUCAACUAUAUAGGUUCUCACAUCGAACUCUUUGGUAUAAGAUGAGUGUCACAAACAGGAAUGCAUUUAUAAGAUGUUGUUUUGAGCUUGAUAUGCUCAUCUGUUAAUUGAAACUUGUCAGUUGACAUGGCAGUAUGAUUAAUUUUAAAAGAAUAUAUUGGAAUGCAUUCAUGUUCGUCAUUGCUCAUCUUAUAUGAAUAAAUUCGGCAUGAGAACAUGUAUAAUUGAUUUGGUAGAAUACAUGUGGUGUUCUCUUUAUUCUUUUGAGUUUUGAAAGAGACUUGCAAAUUUUUAAACUAAGUAUAAGACACUUCAAUGCCAACAUUUUGAGGAAACAGCCAUAAAUUUUAUUUAAAUCCGGCCAACAUCAUGAAGAUGCAACAUCCUUAGAGAUAAUGUAAUGUAGCACAACACUUUGUUUAAAAGUAAAUAAAUUUGUAGUAUUCUAUUGUUUUAAAAUUGAUUUUGCGUACUUUUGUAUAAAUUGAAUUGAUUUUUCAAAGACAUGCUUACCAUUAAGCAAAUGAAUGUUUUUAAAAGGUAUUGAGAAUGAUUGAAUGAAUGUGGUAAAUGAGAAUGAUUAAGCAAUUUUCAACAAACAAUAGUGUUAAAAUGCACCAAAUGUCAACCUAUUUGGGGUUGGUCUAGUGGUUGGCUUGUGAUCUUGGAGUUUGCUCCUCCAAAGGUCUAAGGUUUGAUUCCCCCUGGUGUCAAUUUUGGUGGACUUAGUCGAUUUUUAGAUCGGAUACCGAGUUUUUUAAAAAAAAAACACCAAAUGUCAUAGAAUAGAACCAAGUUUUCAAAAAAAAAAAAAGUGCUUUUUCACAUACAGAAGUUCUUAAAAACACAUUGAAAUGACACAAAUAAAUAAAUUUUGGUGCCUGAUUAGAACAGAGAUGAAAUUAAAACUAAUUUAGUUUUACGCAAUUGUGUUUUUUGUAAGUUAUGAUUUUUAAAAAUUUAUCAAAUGAAUGUUUUUUAAAAAUGCAAAUUGCUGUCAAUAUUUGAAGAAAGGCAACGGUAGUUAUACCGUCGGGGAUAUUUGCACCAUUUCAAUAUGUUUUUAAGAAACUUUGAAUGUGUGUGGAGCAAAUUUCAAAUUUUUUGGUCAUGUAGUCUGUUGGUUAAAAUUCACUUUUAUCAAAAUAAACGAGUAGGGUGCUGGAAUUCAAACUUCAGCUCCUACGUAUAAUAAUGCAUAUCUCUAUCAACUGAGUUAUGUGAAAGAACAAAUUUCAAUUUAGUUUAUGGGAAAAAUGGUUUGGACCAAUGUUUUAAAAACUAGACUUAACCAAUUAAUUGAAUUGGUAAUCAUUCAGUUCACGGUUUAAUAAUGACUACGAUAGUAAAUCGAGAAUCAACUUGUUGGAAGUAUCAAUAGAGUUUCUAAUAUUUUUUAUUUUUCAAAAAUAAGAAGAAUGUAACUAUGUUUGAUAUUAUCAACUGCAAAUAUAUUAUAUGGUCACUAUUAUAUUAAAGAAAUCUAUUUUUUAGAUGUAUUGAAUAAUGCAUGUUUAGACUUUAAGAUAGACCACAUAUAUUAAUUUCUUUUAAGGAAUAUUUUUCUUUAUUUUUGAAAGUUCAUAACUGAAAUUUACCAUGGGUUUUGAUGAUCUGAUUCUCAGUCUUAUAUUUAAUUAUGGACAUUGGUAGAAAGAAACUAAAAAUAAAUACAUGAAAAACUGCUUAAUUUGAUGAUUUGAUUUUGAUGAAUUUUUUUUAUAUAGAAAAAGUGUAAAACUGAUGUUUAAUCUGUUUAAUUUUAAAUUUUUUACACAAGAUUAAAAAUAGGUGGAAAAUAUCCCUCUUUACUGAUACAUUAACAUUGGUAUCCUUAAAAGAAUUGAUGUUUGUAAAAGGUGAAGUAAGUAAGCUUAUCAAAUAGUAAUUAAUUUGGACAAAAAUUGAUAGAAUAAAUAAAAUUGCAGCUUAAGUAUUACAUACGGUUCAAAAGUUUUGGUCUUCCCUUAUAAAAUAAAGAAAAUUGCAACCACAAAAAAUCUUCUUAUCGGAGUGCCUCGUACGGUUUGAAGAAAGCACCCCUAACUAGAAAACAAGAGCAUGCCAAGACUUAUUCAGUUAUGUUUCACAUAUAAAUAACUAGAGUGUAAUGGAUUGGUACAUACAAAAUCAUCAUAAAGUAAAAAAGAAAUAAUAUUGGUAAGAGAGUAUUAGUCUAAGUCGCUCGAAAUGGGGUCCUUUUUUAAAUUUCACUUGUUCUUGUUGUUGUUGAUUACUCAUUUUACUUCAUACACUUUCUCACUAUGCAACCAUCAUGACACCUCUGCCUUGUUACAAUUCAAAAAUUCAUUUUUUGUUGACACUUCAUCAAAACCUGAUCCUUUUUUUAUUUCAUACUCUGGUCCUAGUUGUUCCUCUUUUUCUUUCAAGACAGAAUCUUGGGAAAACAGUACAGAUUGUUGUGAGUGGGAUGGUGUCACGUGCGACACCAUGUCAGAUCACGUGAUUGGUCUGGACCUCAGUUGCAACAAACUAAAAGGUGAAUUACAUCCCAAUAGCAUCAUCUUUCAGCUUAGACACCUUCAACAACUUAAUUUGGCUUUUAAUAAUUUUUCUGGGUCUUCAAUGCCUAUUGGUGUUGGAGAUUUAGUGAAACUCACACAUCUAAAUACAUCAUAUUGUAACCUCAAUGGUAAUAUUCCUUCCACAAUCUCUCAUUUGUCAAAAUUAGUAUCACUUGAUCUUAGCUUUAACUUUGUCGAACUUGAUUCAUUGACAUGGAAGAAACUCAUUCAUAAUGCUACUAAUUUAAGGGAGCUUCAUUUGAAUAUUGUGAACAUGUCUUCCCUCAGAGAGAGCUCUUUGUCAAUGCUAAAGAAUUUGUCAUCCUCUUUGGUUUCUCUUAGUCUAUCAGAAACUGAGUUGCAAGGAAAUUUGUCAAGUGACAUCCUCUCUUUACCUAAUCUUCAAAGAUUGGAUUUGUCAUUUAAUCAAAACCUUAGUGGUCAACUUCCAAAGUCCAACUGGAGCACUCCUCUAAGGUACUUGGUCCUCUCUUCCUCUGCUUUUUCAGGUGAAAUUCCCUAUUCCAUAGGCCAAUUGAAGUAUCUUACUCGAUUAGAUUUUUCACGGUGCAAUUUAGAUGGGAUGGUUCCUCUAUCUUUGUGGAACCUCACCCAACUAACAUAUUUGGACCUUUCAUUUAAUAAACUUAACGGUGAGAUCUCACCAUUACUUUCAAACCUCAAACACCUCAUUCAUUGUGAUCUUGGAUUUAAUAACUUUAGUAGUAGCAUCCCAAUUGUUUAUGGAAAUUUAAUCAAAUUGGAAUAUUUAGCACUUUCCUCUAACAACCUAACAGGCCAAGUUCCAUCAUCACUUUUUCAUCUACCUCAUCUUUCUCAUUUAUAUUUAUCAUCUAACAAACUAGUUGGCCCAAUUCCAAUUGAAAUCACAAAACGUUCAAAAUUGAGCUAUGUGUUUUUGGGUGAUAACAUGUUAAAUGGAACAAUUCCACAUUGGUGUUAUUCUUUGCCUUCGUUGUUAGAGUUGUACCUCAGCAACAACAAUCUCACAGGGUUCAUUGGUGAGUUCUCAACAUAUUCUUUGCAAUAUUUGGAUCUCUCUAAUAACCACCUCACAGGGUUCAUUGGUGAGUUUUCAACAUAUUCUUUGCAAUAUUUGCUUCUCUCUAAUAACAACCUACAAGGUCAUUUUCCAAAUUCAAUAUUUGAACUCCAAAAUCUUACUUACUUAGAUUUGUCAUCAACAAACUUGAGUGGUGUUGUGGAUUUUCACCAAUUUUCAAAAUUAAACAAACUAUGGUUUCUCCAUCUUUCCCAUAAUAGUUUUCUUUCUAUCAACAUUGAUAGCAGUGCUGACUCCAUCUUACCCAACCUUUUUUUAUUAGAUUUAUCCUCUGCUAAUAUUAAUAGUUUUCCUAAAUUCCCAGCACGAAAUCUGAAAAGAUUAUAUCUCUCCAAUAACAACAUUCGUGGGAAAAUUCCCAAAUGGUUUCAUAAGAAGCUCUUAAACUCAUGGAAGGACAUUCAGUACUUAGACCUCAGUUUCAACAAGUUACAAGGAGAUCUUCCAAUUCCACCUUCUGGCAUUGAAUACUUUUCACUCUCAAAUAACAACUUCACAGGAUACAUUUCUUCAACAUUCUGCAAUGCAAGUUCCCUUCGUACCCUCAAUUUGGCUCACAACAACUUUCAAGGAGAUCUUCCAAUUCCACCUUCUGGCAUUCAAUACUUUUCACUCUCAAAUAACAACUUCACAGGAUACAUUUCUUCAACAUUCUGCAAUGCCAGUUCCCUUUAUGUGCUC